UGGGGAAUAUUGGACAAUGGGGGGAACCCUGAUCCAGCCAUGCCGCGUGUGUGAAGAAGGCCUUAUGGUUGUAAAGCACUUUAAGCGAGGAGGAGGGUACUGGUAUUAAUACUACCAGGUACUGGACGUUACUCGCAGAAUAAGCACCGGCUAACUCUGUGCCAGCAGCCGCGGUAAUACAGAGGGUGCGAGCGUUAAUCGGAUUUACUGGGCGUAAAGCGUGCGUAGGCGGCUAAUUGAGUCGGAUGUGAAAUCCCCGAGCUUAACUUGGGAAUUGCAUUCGAUACUGGUUAGCUAGAGUGUGGGAGAGGAUGGUAGAAUUCCAGGUGUAGCGGUGAAAUGCGUAGAGAUCUGGAGGAAUACCGAUGGCGAAGCCAGCCAUCUGGCCUAACACUGACGCUGAGGUACGAAAGCAUGGGGAGCAAACAGG
rnacentral:rRNA from 1 species